rnacentral:rRNA from 1 species
UUCUGGCUCAGGAUGAACGCUAGCUACAGGCUUAACACAUGCAAGUCGAGGGGCAGCAUUGGGAUAGCUUGCUAUUCCAGAUGGCGACCGGCGCACGGGUGAGUAACGCGUAUCCAACCUUCCCUAUAGUAGAGAAUAGCCCGGCGAAAGUCGGAUUAAUGCUCUAUGUUGUGUUUUUGAGGACAUCUGACGAACACCAAAGGUUCACCGCUAUAGGAUGGGGAUGCGUCUGAUUAGCUUGUUGGCGGGGUAACGGCCCACCAAGGCGACGAUCAGUAGGGGUUCUGAGAGGAAGGUCCCCCACAUUGGUACUGAGACACGGACCAAACUCCUACGGGAGGCAGCAGUGAGGAAUAUUGGUCAAUGGGCGAGAGCCUGAACCAGCCAAGUAGCGUGCAAGGAUGACUGCCCUAUGGGUUGUAAACUGCUUUUAUCAGGGAAUAAAGUGCGGCACGUGUGCCGUUUUGUAUGUACCUGAUGAAUAAGGACCGGCUAAUUCCGUGCCAGCCGCGGC